rnacentral:misc_RNA from 1 species
GAUGAAGAACGUAGCGAAAUGCGAUAAGUAAUGUGAAUUGCAGAUUUCAGUGAAUCAUCGAAUCUUAGAACGCACCUUGCGCCUUGUGGUAUUCCACAAGGCAUGCCCGUUUGAGUAUCAUUAAAUCAUCAACUCUAAAACCUUUGUGGUUUUUUUAGAGCUUGGUCUUGAGGGUUUUGCAGGCUUUUUUUUUUUCGAGUCUGCUCCCUUUAAAUGCAUUAGCGAGACUUCCCUAUGCUGAACCGUCUCUUUGACGUGAUAAUUAUCUGCGUCGAAUUUUGGUUCUCGUUGGGCUUGCUUCUAAUCGUCUGUUAAAGACAAAACGGAUUUGGGUGCAUAUAUGCGCCUUUUUCCAAAACCUUUUUUGAUCUCAAAUCGGGUAGGACUACCCGCUGAACUUAAGCAUAUCAAUAAGCGGAGGA